rnacentral:tRNA from 1 species
UGGAGAGGUGCCAGAGUGGACGAUUGGGGCGGUCUCGAAAACCGCUGUGGGGGUAACCUCACCGAGGGUUCGAAUCCCUCCCUCUCCGUUAU